UCCAUCUGGUCCCAGUGUGACAACAGGGGUAAUGAGCAUCUGGCACCCACCAUCCAUGCCAACAAGACCCACUUUAACAGAAUGAUCAAAUGUGUCGUCACCACCUGCAUUGGGGACCCGAGCAUGACGGUCCAGGACAGGGCCAGGGUGGUGGAGUUCUGAAUCCAGAUGGCCAGGGAAGAACUGGACAAAACUUAAAAAGUUGAUGAAAACAAGCCAGUGGGAGAGCAAGAAGCUGCUCAAGGAGGUGAAUGGAGGCUGGAGAUGAGGAAGGAGGGGAGGGUGUCGUCCCCUUCCUGGGCACGUUCCUCUAUCACCUGAAGCUGCUGGACAUUGGGAUGGAGGAUGAUCUGGAAGGAAAUCGGUCCAACUUCCAGAAAUGGUGUGAGGUGAGCAGCUGUGGGGAGGGUGGGGAAGUGGAAAUCACAGACCUCCCCUAGCAAGACAUUCUCUGGCCUCA